GGGGCGUCGCCUUGUCCUCUUCGGAGCCAAUCGGAAUUCUGUUUCAUACUUUGUAAACAACACGGUUGCACGUUGUCUGCAAACUACUACGGGUAGUUGUCGCGGGCCAGGCGCCGCCAAGCCACUUCGCUCUGUCUCCAGGCAAAGGUGUAUGUUUCUUGGAGGGACCAUGGAGUGGUAAAUGAGAAGUGCUCCACCCUGUGCCCUCCUCCACCGAACUCACGCGAGCGGAUCCCCGUCCUUUCAUUGCUCGUACGUCGGCGUGUGAGCGAAUGUAGCGUUAGCCCUACGACAAAGAAGAGGCUUUUCGGCUGCGUCCUGGUUGGCUAAUCUAUGAAGCAAUGCAGUGAAAACCUCUAAAGCAGGAAUCGCCAGUGAGGUCAAUGUGCUUUGCAGUCCAACGAAACGAGUAUCUAUAUCGGACACCGGAGCUGUUUCUGGAUGGGGACUGGAUUGGUUUAGUUUGAAAGGAUCAUAUGGAGUAACCAGUGUAUGAAACAAGCUCUACAUAGUGGAAUUCCUUCAAGAAUUCUUCUGUAUCUUCAUAUUGACACCAUACUGGUUAUGUUCAGAAUCUUGACAUGAUCCGGUAUGCUGGUUAUGUAAUAAGCUUUCACAAUUUCGAAAAUCAAUCUAAUUUUUGUUUGUAACCUUAGUAUUUAUUUGAGUAUUUAUUAAUUUAAGUAACAGUUGGAGAGCUAGAUUUAUAGUAAUAAUUUAAAUAUCUGAGUUAUGUAAAUGUUUAUAUAGUUAUGUUAAACAACACACAAAAAAAGAUUCUCUACCAUAGAUCCAUAAUUUUGACAAACUUAUAAACCAACUCUAUUAUGUUGUUCACACUGCAUUAGAAUGAAUGAGAAUGGUUAUAUUACAUCUUUAAUUGCAUUUUAUAAAUGAACUAUUUUGAAUGCAUUUCUUUUAAACAUUUACAAAUAUUGCAUUAUUCAUAAUUAAAAAGAUUAAAUAAUGAUUAGAAGCAUUGCCUUUUGGGUGACAUUUUCCACUCCGUGCUCUGUUUGUUAUAGUAUUAACUCCCUGUAACAAACUU
ensembl:lncRNA